AGUUAGGUUGGCAUUUCUGCUGUUAUGCAAACUCAGCCGUCAAAUUUGACAUUUGGCAACCAGAAAAUUUUUCUUACUUUUGAGCAUAAGCAUAAGGAAGUUAGUAAAAUGUCGGCUGCAGCUAGUGCCGCUAGAAAGCAGGAUAUGCCCCCACCGGGCGGCUAUAAAAAAAUUCCAUUUCUGCGAGUUCCAGCCAAGAGUUAUUUCACAGGUUUUCAAUUGCUUGCCGGAUACGCGGUUGUUACAACCGCAGGAAUGUAUGUGUAUUAUUUGACCGCUAAGCAAAUUCUUCGUGAAGAGAUAGAGAAUCGUUCAGCGCAAUUGGUCAUAUAUCCUCUGCUCAUAGCAGAACGUGAUCGCGAAUAUUUGAAGCAACUGCGGCGUAAUCGCGACGAAGAAGCUAAACUAAUGGCAAAUGUGCCCGGUUGGAAGGUUGGUACUUGGUAUGGUGAGCCCGUCUACAAGACGCUACCUAAAGACACUCUUAUAACCCCCAUGUUUAAGGAAUUCUAUGCUCAUACCGAUUAUAAGUCCGCCGCCAAGCGAGCCCAUCUGAAAUUAUGGUCUUAAGCCUUUUUUCACUCUGAAUUUUCAACGCCAUUCAAUAAAAAUCGAAAUAGAUCUGCGAAAUAGGAAUGGAUUAGCAAAUAAAUAAAAAAUUAAAAAAAGUUAUUCAAGAAGAGAGGACGCAUUUCAAGUCUACAGAAUGUUACGUCCGUCGAACAUUGCCUCCAGAUAUAUUCAACGGUUUAAAUGACAUAUUUACAAAGUAUCAUCUAGCAAAUGAAAUAAACAAGUUACAAAUAACAUAAGGUA